rnacentral:lncRNA from 1 species
CGUGCCCCAUGUUCCGUCCAUCUGACGAUCAUCUCGUUCCUGACGAAUGGUCUGCUGAUGGACCACGUCUGCUCGGCGAAGAUGAAAUCAGCCACCGAAAAAGAGGACGGUCUUCGGCUUGAAAAUAGAAUUCUUUGGGUCGCUCACACCGGAAUUAGAUCGCCGAAUCCGCGUUUCAACAGUUUCUUGUCUAGGAGUAUGUUCUUUUAAAAAAAUGAAGCUUUUUUUAUCAUUUUAUUUAAAAAUAUGUACAUGUAUAUUGCAGAGUUUGUCAUAGAUUUCUUUGCUCACUCGACUUUGGUUUAAUUUAAAUUGAUUGAUCAUUGCACAUCGAGUUUUUAUAGUUCUUGGUAGAUUCUGCUUCUGUCGUGCAACGUUUUGUAGCGACUUGACGUUUCGACUUGCAAAACACUGUGACGUUUUCCAUUUGCUUUCUCGCCGAGAUGGCCAACGAAACUUUCACUCAUUGUUACUGGCGUUACGCUUCGAUUCGCGAUUGCGUUUCGAUGCCCAAGUAGGAUUUAGUCGUUGGUUUUAUCAACCAACUCGGCACGUAUAAUGGGAAUAACAUUUAUUAUUUUCAAAUACGGAAAAAAAGUAAUGCUUCCUUAAUUGCAUAACAAAUAAAAAUUUCUCUGACACAGAUAACGGAAAUUACAAAUUAUCUCGCUACCGGAAUUCGCUGCUUUGCAUGCCCGAUUCAUAUGGAUAUCGAAGUUUUGUUACAACACUUGUGGCACGUUUUCCCAUAAUUGUUCCAUCAUAGAUACCAUAAAGAUGUUAUCGAACGAAAUAUCGAUAACGACUUCUGACUUCGUGUACGUUACCGCAGAAUUUUCAUCCAUCAAAGAAUGCCAGGUAAACCUACAUUUUUCGAUUGGCGGUUUUACGUGUAACGUAAUAUAAAACCGUCGUAAUAUGACGGCAAUUUUCUGCAAUAGUAAUAUAAAACCAGCAGAUACUUAUCGAUUUUCCAUGGUAACAUAAGUACUUGUAAAAUGUAACAUUUAAACGUCACCGUUGUGGAAAUACUUUUUAACGAAUCAUUCGUAAACGUUUUAUAUAUAACUAAUGAUAAAUUCGUCACGUAAUAUUUUGAGUGAUACUUACUUUGUCGCUUUACUUUUUACAAUCGUUAUAUCUAAUCAGGGAUAGCAGUUUUAUCACACUAUCAAACAAUACUAACAAAAUCCUACAUUUCUUAUUAUCUUGCGAUUAUCAUUUGUUAUCUAGCCAUUUCUAUAUAAAAUUUACUCAGCGUUUCACUCCUUCAGUGAUCGCGUCUACGCAUUUUAACAAUUUUCCUAAUUAUUGAACAUGACAUAAUAUGAAACUUUAUUACGAUAUAAUGUGAUAUAAUUCCACGCAUUUUAUUAUCUGUGUUGUGUCUGUUGCGAAAUCAGUAACGUAAUAAGAUUUAGUGAAAUUUCCGCUGAAUAUAUUUUCGAAUCGAGUUCUUCCUUGUAUAACUCAAAGAAGCGGCAGAACAACAUUCAUUCUCUCCUGCUUGUUAUGUUACAAACAGUCCUGACGCACGUUGUCCUUGUUGAAACAAGAACGUUUUGGUAAGUGCAAAAAUAGUUUAUGUCACGUUCCAAGAUAUAUUCGUGCGGCUCGCGAUUUCGCUCAUAUCGGAGAGGCAGGAAAAUACAAAAUCUCAGAGAAACGCAGCAUUUGCAGAAAAGACUUGCAAAGAUCUGAAAUUACAUUCACCUUUAAAAUAAAAACAGAAUAUGUAGGUGCAUGAUUUUUAACUUUUGUUUAACAAUUCCUGUCACGACUUGAUUUUGAGUGACUUGGAAUUUUAUUAUUGUUUAAUUUACACGUAUGUAGCUUCUGAUAAAGAUACCCAACUGUAUAUUGUCAUUUUCUGUGAAUUCCAGUUUCCGAGAAGCUUACUUAAAAUAUCGAGGUUUUUGUAUAUACAAACCAAAUCUUGUCUCACACAAGUGACUCACUCACGUGACAUUUUAGACGAGUAAAAUAACAUGACCAAAAUUAACCAAGACAAAAUUGACCAAGAUUAAAAACGGUCAAGAUUAAAAUCAUUUUUCCUCAUCAGAGCUGCGGAAAUCAUAGACUGCCCGUCUCGUCAUGAUGAAAAUCGAUACUUUCAGUCUUGAUCCCUUUCCAUCGAUCGGGUGCAGAGUUCUUGGACGCAGUGUCGCGCGGUCGUCGCUUUAUAUAACGAGUACCGAUUAGCUCGUACCAGGCGGAGACGGUCUGUCAUUGCACGAGAGAGAUGGAGACGGAGAGCAAGGGAGGGACAGAGACGAGAGGUGAUAUCGGGGAUAUUCCGGAAAACGGCGGGACAAAGACGGUAGACGUGUAUCGGAGUAUGGGUGCGCAAAGAAAGAGCGAGAGAGGUCGGACGAAGGUGAGGAGAGGCCGAGGAACGAAAGAGAUCGGCGUUCGACUUUCGCUUUAGACCGGAGGUGUUCAACUUGACGAGAGAACACGGUCUCGCAUCGCGUUGGUCGCCGGCGCGACCAACAGGAUAUAGCCGUGUCUGAAUUGCACUUAUGCUCGGAUAACCUGCUCGAGAGGCUAAUAUACACCGCGUCGGAACGGUAACGAGGGGUUUUUAAAUGUACAUCGAGACGCGAGCCGGUGCAUCCAUUACUGCGAAGAAGCUAGAAGGGUCUGGAUUUACGCUGGAACGCAUAAAAUGGGUUCUUCUUCAUGAACGUCCUACCCUCCCGGUCCCUUCUCCGUCCCCUCUCCUCCCUUGACGUUUAUUACAUUUUAUUCAUUAAUAUACACACCGUUAAUUGAACGCCGAAUUAAUUAUUAAUAGCUUUCGAUAAUUAAAUUGUUCGCUAUUUGUAUUAAUACGAAUCAAUAUCGUCGGUUUUCUUAUUUUCAGCCAAUUGCAAAUUAUCUGUCGAUAUGGUAUCUGAUAUGCGUUCCUCAACGUCAUUCCUCUUCCGCUUUGAUUUUCGCGGAUGUUCAUCAGGCGCGAUCAUGCACGUCCCGAAAUCGUUCUACGUCCGGCAUGGAUAUUCGUUAUCGGAGAUACCGCAGAGUCGGGGGACCCAUGCAACGCAACUGACACAACAAUGUAUGCAGGAUUAAUUGAACGACGCGCACUAAAUUAUGGCAAACAAGUCAUUGCCAUAAAUUGAGAUGCGUCGGGAUAAGGAGGUAAUUUCUCGAGUUUAAUGAUCGUAAAUUUGCGGGUUUUCUCGCCGGCGCGAGCUGGCUGCUCGAAAUCAGUAUUUAGAACCAUGGCACGGGAAACUACUCUCACCGAAGCAAUCUCUCCCUCACCGUCGAUCCCGCACACCAUGGACUCGAGAUAGCGGUUUAAUACGAUCACUUAACUGGUCCAGCGGCAAAGUUUUCAUCUUCUCAUGCCCGCACGGUCAUGAUGAACAUAAAUAUCGUGCGUUAUAAUUUCACGUUUUAAUCUGGCGCAAACGACGAGCACAGAUUUUACUCUGUGCAUCAACGUGUAUAUCUUUAUGCGACUUUUCUAGUGCAUAUCCUUUAACUCGACUACGAGAAACCGAGACGGAAAAACCGACUCGUUAUAUAUGAAAUUAAUUUUUCAUGAAGUCUACGUGCCUCAUUGUUGUCUAUUACAAUGUGAAAAUUCGAAAAUUUCCCAGAAUGCCAAACAGUCCGUGAAAUAAAUAAUUAAUUGCCACGAUUUGAUAUCAUUAAAAAGUAGCAACUAGAUGUGUGAUUCACGUGCUCGAUUGUUUAUGCUUGAAAUAGUGUUUCACGUUGCAUUCGAUCUUCGUUCGCGCAUGCGGUGCGUGCAAAUUACGGAAAUGAGGUGGUAUUAGUCAAACCACGAAUGAGAUUCAAUAUUCAUUCGCCGACACCGCAGUAUAUAGAUAAUCAAUUUCCACUGUGGUGUGUACGAUCAAAUAAACGUAGGAAGUUCAAGUGCCGGCAUAGAUAGAUGGAAAUCGAGGUCGACUGCCGUUGUGUACAUAAGCGUAAAGCAGAAACACAAGCAUCACACGGCCGACCGGAAGAAUUUGUCAGAUUGGAAGACAGAAGAGAAGACCUAGACUGACGCAAAACUGGAAAAGCUGACGUCGAAUCAAAGUGGCCGCUUUAUCACUGGACAAGAGCAUCGCGUUCUAUCUCACGUUCACACGCACGCUCGUCCGACUGGUGAAAGUUAUGUACGAUAACGCACAUUUCUUUCCGCCUUUUUUGUGCAUUAAUUUCGUUCCGCGGUUCAAUCGACCACAUCCGCAGCGGAAUAUCAGACGGCGGUUUAUUCAUUUUUAUUUUACAAGAUCUCUCGUGCAAAGUAAGUUAUCUACUUUCUUCUAAUGCGCUGCCUGUUUAUGGCUUGUAAAAGUGUUUCCAGCGUAGUAAAUAAGCGGGUCUUCGGAUUUUCUUGUUCUUCGCGUACCUCACGUCGACAUCAAUUAUAGCAGUAAGUAUAUAAUUAUUCCCGGAGUAUCGAUUCCCAAAGACUCUGUGCUCGUUGCCUUUGCAUUCUUACGUCGAUGUGAAAAUAUUCUCAAGCUGGCUCCAAGUCAACGACGGUUUUAGCUCUUUCCAGCCGGCCGCUCGGCAUUUUCUCUUUUGAUAUUGAAAUAGACCACUCGCCGCUGUUGUGCACGCAUCGGUACCCGCCGAAACGCUUAAGCAAUAAUCGCUUAAAUUAUGUGGCAAAACGUGAGGUUUAUUAUAAGUGAAAAAAAUUAUGAUUUUCUUGUAUGUAAUUGGUGUGUACGUAUUACAAUAAAGUAACGUGAAAAUUUCAAACGCUAAGCAGCAAACGCAGCAUGGAGCUACGAGUGCUGGACGACGGGAGAAUGGCUUCUACGGCGGAUAAAGCUUUUUUCACGAACGUUUUUACGCGAUCCACUUAGCCCGUGGACUAUGGAACGUAUUCAGAUGCUGCGCCUGCAAUCAACACGUUAACGGACAGAUUAUGCACGGCCUAUCCACGCGAGUGCACGCUCCGGUGUAUCCGGUCGUACAGGCUUGACAGAGGUGAACAUAUGGAUAUAGCUACCUGGUGAUCACUAUCGCCCUCAGAAGCCGGGAUAACUUUUAAUCGCGACACCCACGUCCACCGCCGUAUGGAAGGGACUCUGACGCAUACAGUCGUCACACUCGCUAUGCACUCGCCACGCACUCGCGUACACGACAGAACUCGAGCUAUGACACGGCACCGCGCGCGGUGCACGACCGUGUGACCGGCGUGCGUACGCAAAUACGUUCGCGCGUGUGUUCCGCAGCCGUGCAUACGCACGAUAGACCGGCGUACAGCAACGCUCGCACGACACACCAGCAAUUAGGACCGAAACGCGGAUUUUCGUUCUGGCUCGUUCUCGCGCAGAGAGACUGACGACGAAGCGAACACAGGACGAGGAAGAGGAACGCGAGGGAAGAACGGAGGCGCGUCGCGACGCCGUUUUUCCGCGGCGCAGCCUCAAUGGAGAAAGAACGCGACGUGAAUCGUUAGAGGAGGAACACUGGCAGCAUCACGGUACAAAGGGAACGCGAGAAGGCGUCGGGACGACCCGCGUCCGCCGAGUCUGCGCCGUCACGCGACGACGUCCCUUUGUCCCCACGAAUCUCUCACCUAGCUUCUCUCUCCGUCCCCCUUGGCCGUCUACCCCAUGCACGACGCUCGCGUCUCUUUCCUGCCUGCGUCGCGACGCCGGCGUCCGCCGACGUCCGACUCCCGGCUGCCGCUUUCCGUACGGAGAGCUACGCCUUUUGCUCCCGCACUCGCGACAUCCCGAUGAGAACGCUGACGACGACCUCCUCCCUUUUGCCGUCCGUCCGUCAAGCGCGACGUCGCGCCGGAAAAGCUCUCGAGCGCAUUAAUUGCCGGCUAAACGAUCGUACAUUCGAAGCGGAGCGCAGAACCAGCCGUGAACCGAGCUCACCGAGCAUAAAAACGAGGGUCGGAAAAAAGGCACGUUGGAAGUCGGUGAACUCCGAUUUCGACGCGAGAAGACAGGGACGCGGAAAUCACGAUGGAAUCGCGACGAUCCACGCGAUGCUUUCUCGUAUUUACGACGUCAACGUUUCAUCGAGAUUGCAUAUCGGCUCUAUGUAAAAGCACGUUCGCCCGUAUCUCGAAAUGCGAUUCUGCAGUCACGUAACCUACGUAUCCGCAAUGUUAAUCGUAUUAAAAAUUAUGCUAACAAAGCGACCAGGCAGGUAUUAAUAAAAUAGGUGAAAGCGCCAAAGGGCAUGGCGAUAAAAUGAAACUGUAGCUUUUGUAUCGCGUAUAAUAAUUUAUCCCUUACUCUUACUUACUCUAACUCUGUUUCGUGCUUUACAGCGCAAGAUGAAUUUGGGGACGACGCUGGACUGCAUUAUUCCUACGAUAAAAAGAAAGACACCGGCAACCCUCGGUACUCGCGUGACCAAAGGCAUUAAAGCACUCGCGUAAUUACACGUAGCUGCGGAGAGGACACUCCACCCUUCUCACGACCUUUUCCUCCCUCGUCCGUUUCAACCCUGUGCAAUCCUCCAAAUCCAACAGCCACCGCGUCGUUUCUAGUGCAACUACGGUAAUGUCAGGCCACGUCGAAUAAAAGUAAAUGAAUCGUUAGCUGUUACUGCUGCUGUUGCUGCUGCAAAGAUGAACGCAAAGGAUUGCAAAAUCCUUCUCGCCAACGAGACGAGAAAGAUAUGGCAUGGAUAUUAAAAGAACCACCACUCAUUCGAGUCACGAUGCUGUUGUCAGCGAGGCCGAUCACACAGGGCGGUAUUGAUUUUACGAUAUGUCAAUGAAACUGCAAGAAUGUUCCACACGCUCUAUUCAGCAACUCUCUGCCACCGCACGUAUCUACCGCAGAUACGAAUCUUUCGACGCUUCAGUUCUGCGCGAGCUGUGCAAACGGUACGCGUGUGCACGACCAGCGUGUGGUGUGCACAAUACACCAGCACGAUGCAACAAUAAACCACCCACCGAGACGUAACACGACGGCAACAGCCGACAGGGAGACCUGAUGAUUUAUCACACCUGUCUCUAGGUUUCGUGUCCCGCCGCUAUUCCCGCCGAUCAUGUCAAUAUCUCGCGAGUUUGAUGCGAACUAUGAGAGUGUUCGAUAAUAGGUACGAUUGAUGUGGUUCCUCGUGCAGACCUAUUAUAUUGAAAAUAUCGCCAUAUUGAUCACUAGCAAGCAAAACAAAAUAAACUUUCUGGCAAAUUGCCCUUCUCAGAGAUACAAAUUUUCAGAGAUAAAAAUACAACAAAAUUAGAAAAUAUUAUUUCUCUGUUAAUUUAUCAGAUAGUUUGCUUAGAGUCCUCUUCAAGGAGUACUUAUCAAAUAUUAGAUGCCAAAACAUUGAAUACACUUUUCAUAAAGGACAAAUUACUAUUUAGUUUUUGACGAGAAUAUUACCGUAUGUAUCGCACGCACCACACACGAUUUUGUGCGUCACAUGUUGAUUGCGUUACGCACAGUCGGAGAGAGAUACAUGUCCUUAUAAGUGCUUAUCAACCGGUACUCGAAGCGCCUGCUACCGUACUCGGUUAGAAAUGGCUAAGUGCCCCAGAUUCGCACGCCAAACGCGAAUAUCCAUCCUAUGCUAUCCAACUGAGCCAAAAUACUUCCAAUCAGUAAUCGAUAGUAGCUACUCCGGCGCAAUAUUUCGGCCAGUCGGCAAACGACCGGCUUUGAUGCUGCGAUCCAUUUAAUCCUCGCAUGUAUCUAUAACCAGACUAAACCUUAUCCGCAAAAUAAGAUUUUGUCAUUUGUAUCUCUGAAGAGCAAUUCGCCAAAAAGGUCGUUUGCUUUUACUGCUCUCGGGAACCACCCAGCAAUAUUCUUUAGAAAAUAAAAUGGCAGGAUCAAGAAUAGGAUUCUGCAGAGAAUAUCGCCAUGUGUUUCAAUCAUGUUUUUCGUUAAGCAUUGGUCUGGUACUAUCGCCUUGUGGCACGAACUUUAGAAGUAGAGAUAAAAAUUUUAAUUAUAAAAUGCUUAUUAAAUAUUUUAUCAUGUACAGCAAGAGCCAGCAGCAAAAUCCGUUAUACACUGUUUCACCUCCGCAUAUAAAUGUAAAGAAGAAUAUUAAAGAUGUCAAAUAAAGGAAAAGAUAUUUUCACGUUAUCUUAUGUAAGCUUAUAAAUCAAAAGUAUCUAACUGGCUGUUGCAUAUUAUAGAUAAAAUAUUGAGUAGCUAUAUGCAAAUAUAUGUAUGUUUGUAUUGUAUAACGGAAUAACUGUAAUAACUGUAUAAUGCAAUACAUAUUUCUCCAGGGCGUCUCAGGA